AACGCAACUUGCACCGUCUGGGCAACUGGACGGUAUGUCUGUUUGAGAACCAAUACCAACUCGCAUGUGUAUGCGUGCGGACCUGGGACGUGUGGGCGCGUCCUGAAACGUAGGUUUUGGGUGGCGGCCGGUCCCGCAGCCGUGUGGUAGAGGCCAGUCGGUCUUGUCACGGGUGUGGCGGCAGGUUGCCGUGGGGCAGCAAUGCUCCAGUUUGUCAACUGGUCUCAAAUCAGACAAGAGUACCCGCUGAACUUAA
rnacentral:misc_RNA from 1 species